AUUCCAUUAUGAUGGCACUUCUGUAAUAAUUCUUUGUACCUUUCCAAUGCCUCAUACAAGGACUCGUCAUCCAUUUUUUGGAAAGUAGUGAUCUCAUUCCUAAACUU
rfam:Gossypium hirsutum cultivar TM-1 chromosome 3, whole genome shotgun sequence